GACGAACGCUGGCGGCGUGCCUAAUACAUGCAAGUCGAGCGAAUGAAUGGGAGCUUGCUCCUGUUCGUUAGCGGCGGACGGGUGAGUAACACGUGGGCAACCUGCCUGUAAGACUGGAAUAACUUCGGGAAACCGGAGCUAAUACCGGAUAGUUUCUUUCUUCACAUGAAGAAGGAUGGAAAGACGGUUUUGCUGUCACUUACAGAUGGGCACGCGGCGCAUUAGCUAGUUGGUGAGGUAAUGGCUCACCAAGGCGACGAUGCGUAGCCGACCUGAGAGGGUGAUCGGCCACACUGGGACUGAGACACGGCCCAGACUCCUACGGGAGGCAGCAGUAGGGAAUCUUCCGCAAUGGACGAAAGUCUGACGGAGCAACGCCGCGUGAGUGAAGAAGGUUUUCGGAUCGUAAAACUCUGUUGUCAGGGAAGAACAAGUACCAGAGUAACUGCUGGUACCUUGACGGUACCUGACCAGAAAGCCACGGCUAACUACGUGCCAGCAGCCGCCGUAAAAC
rnacentral:rRNA from 1 species